GCCACUGCUAUUGGGGUUCGGCUAAGCCAUGCGAGUGGAGGGCGCCCCGCAAGGGAUGGCCCCGCAGACGGCUCAGUAACACGUCGUCAACCCACCUUAGGGUGGGGGACAACCUCGGGAAACUGAGGAUAAUCCCCCAUAGGCGGGGGAGGCUGGAAUGCGCCCCCGCUGAAAGCUCAGGCGCCCUAGGACGGAACGGCGGCCUAUCAGGUAGUUGGUGGUGUGACG
rnacentral:rRNA from 1 species